rnacentral:rRNA from 1 species
UUUUUGUUUGGAGAGUUUGAUUCUGGCUCAGGACGAACGCUGGCGGCGUGCUUAACACAUGCAAGUCGAACGGAAAGGCCCCUUUGGGGGUGCUCGAGUGGCGAACGGGUGAGUAACACGUGGGUGAUCUGCCCUGCACUUUGGGAUAAGCCUGGGAAACUGGGUCUAAUACCGAAUACACCUCGCUGGUCGCAUGGCCUGGUGGGGGAAAGCUUUUGCGGUGUGGGAU